UUGUCCCGGCCCACGCUUUCCUCAUGCCCCGGUGCUCGGCUGCAGCGGGGAGGGCUGGCAGGACGCACGGUCUCCCUCUCAGCCUAGAAGGGCCACCCUGAGUACAGGGCUGGCUCUUAAAGGCACAAGAGGACAAU